UACGUAGGGUGCAAGCGUUGUCCGGAAUUAUUGGGCGUAAAGAGCUCGUAGGCGGUUUGUCGCGUCUGCUGUGAAAACUCGGGGCUUAACUCCGGGCCUGCAGUGGGUACGGGCAGACUAGAGUGCGGUAGGGGGAGACUGGAAUUCCUGGUGUAGCGGUGAAAUGCGCAGAUAUCAGGAGGAACACCGGUGGCGAAGGCGGCCUGCUGGGCAGUAGCUGACGCUGAGGCGCGACAGCGUGGGGAGCAAACAGG
rnacentral:rRNA from 1 species